GUGGGGAAUAUUGCACAAUGGGGGAAACCCUGAUGCAGCAACGCCGCGUGAAGGAAGAAGGUCUUCGGAUUGUAAACUUUUGUCUUGUGGGACGAUAAUGACGGUACCACAGGAGGAAGCAACGGCUAACUACGUGCCAGCAGCCGCGGUAAUACGUAGGUUGCGAGCGUUGUCCGGAUUUACUGGGUGUAAAGGGUGCGUAGGCGGGAACGCAAGUCAGAUGUGAAAGACCACGGCUCAACCGUGGUACUGCAUUUGAAACUGUGUUUCUUGAGUGCAGGAGAGGUAAGCGGAAUUCCCAGUGUAGCGGUGAAAUGCGUAGAUAUUGGGAGGAACACCAGUGGCGAAGGCGGCUUACUGGACUGUAACUGACGCUGAAGCACGAAAGCGUGGGGAUCAAACAGGAUUAGAAACCCUAGUAGUCC
rnacentral:rRNA from 1 species